AAUAUUGGGCAAUGGGCGGAAGCCUGACCCAGCCACGCAGCGUGAGUGAUGAAGGCCUNAGGGUUNUNAAGCUCUUUGGGGAGGGNCGAAAAAUCCGGGAUCGAACAGGGCCCGGACUCGCCGGUACCUCCUUAGCAAGCACCGCCAAACCCUUUUCCAGGAGCCGCGGUAAGACAGAGGGUGCAAACGUUGCUCGGAAUUACUGGGCGUAAAGGGCGCGUAGGCGGAUUUGGAAGUAAGGUGUGAAAUCCCUGGGCUCAACCGAGGAACUGCAUUCGAAACUCCAAGUCUAGAGUGACGGAGAGGAAAGCGGAAUUACCGGUGUAGAGGUGAAAUUCGUAGAUAUCGGGAGGAACACCAGAGGCGAAGGCGGCUUUCUGGACGUCUACUGACGCUGAGGCGCGAAAGCGUGGGGAGCAAAC
rnacentral:rRNA from 1 species